CUGCAACAAACGUGAUCACCACGGCUAUUGUGGCUUUAUGACAGAAACCAGCAAAUGUCCCACAAGCUGCACUCCAAGUGAUGGCUGAGUCUCCUUUGUUUGCUAAGUAAAGCACCUCGGUUGAAACAGCAGCAGCUCCCAAGAUUACGUAUGUUAGAAUCUGAAAUUACUAUGAUGUUAUUAGCUGGUAUAAAUGGUUGAUGACUUGAUGUUAAUGAAAAAGGAAGUUUAAUUAGGUGACCUGAUCGAGUAGGAAGAAAGUCCAAGCUCUAGGCAUAGUAGAAGGACGAGGCACAGCUGCUAUAAUAGCUGAAAGAAGGGAAUAGCCUGCACAAAUACCAUUAGCAUGCACCAAGUACCUGAAAGCACCAAGAUCUGAGUAUGAAACGGAGCCAAAGUCAUUGGACUGUGAGUUUUUGAGCAUGACAACAAGUGCAGCAACCCCUAAAGCCAUAGGCACCAACCGCAGCAUGGUCUCGGCAGUUCUCAUGCUGGUAUUCACUUCUUGGUUUUCAUUUCUAGAUGAC
rnacentral:lncRNA from 1 species